rnacentral:rRNA from 1 species
CAGUAGCCACGGUAACACGAAGGGUGCAAGCGUUAAUCGGAAUUACUGGGCGUAAAGCGCGCGUAGGUGGUUUGGUAAGAUGGAUGUGAAAUCCCUGGGCUCAACCUGGGAACUGCAUCCAUAACUGCCUGACUAGAGUACGGUAGAGGGUGGUGGAAUUUCCUGUGUAGCGGUGAAAUGCGUAGAUAUAGGAAGGAACACCAGUGGCGAAGGCGACCACCUGGACUGAUACUGACACUGAGGUGCGAAAGCGUGGGGAGCAAACAGGAUUAGAUACCCCGGUAGUCCCUGUCUCUUAUAC